GACGAACGCUGGCGGCGUGCUUAACACAUGCAAGUCGAACGGAAAGGCCCUGCUUUUGUGGGGUGCUCGAGUGGCGAACGGGUGAGUAACACGUGAGUAACCUGCCCUUGACUUUGGGAUAACUUCAGGAAACUGGGGCUAAUACCGGAUAGGAGCUCCUGCUGCAUGGUGGGGGUUGGACAGUUUCGGCGGUUGGGGAUGGACUCGCGGCUUAUCAGCUUGUUGGUGGGGUAGUGGCUUACCAAGGCUUUGACGGGUAGCCGGCCUGAGAGGGUGACCGGCCACAUGGGGACUGAGAUACGGCCCAGACUCCUACGGGAGGCAGCAGUGGGGAAUAUGGCACAAUGGGCGGAAGCCUGAUGCAGCAACGCCGCGUGCGGGAUGACGGCCUUCGGGUUGUAAACCGCUUUCGCCUGUGACGAAGCGUGAGUGACGGUAAUGGGUAAAGAAGCACCGGCUAACUACGUG
rnacentral:rRNA from 1 species